GUUGUGACACUUCCCUUUGUUAUAGAAUCAUGAAAAUAUGGGUUUGGAACUGGAAGGAACCUCAGGUGUGUCCAACUCCCUCCCUCAUUCAUUGUAUGAGAAGACUGAGGUCCUUUGGGAGGCUUUGAAUAACAUGUCUAGAGAAUCUGGGAGCACAAGUUGGCCUCAAAAGAAAUUCAUAUUAUCACCUUUAGAUCUGGAGAUCAUCACACUCACCUCUCAGACUUCUGAAAACAUCGACUGGCAAGGUGAAAGCUUGCCUCCGCAAGAGACCAGGAAAUAUCCCCUUUGGUGAGAUUGUGGCCUCCUUUUUGGUCAAGCUGAGGUCGCAUAUUGCUGUCAUCAGAAGAAUCCACUUAUUCUAGUGUUUUUUCUA